rnacentral:misc_RNA from 1 species
UAUUAUUAUCAUUAAUUUUCACAAGUACAAGAAAUAUGCAGCCACUUUCCUAAGCCACCACAUAUUACCUACCAGCAAUAGUGUGCUCUAAGCAAAAAUUAUGAAAACUUAGGACCGAAGUAAUUUACACCCAUCAUUAGUUGCUAGAUCACACACCAAAAUCUGGCUGCUGGUGCACUUCCCGCAAUUGGAUCUCACCGGAAUCUGGCACCAAGACAACUACAUUCUGCUGAGUAGACACAGUAAUAGUCCGACAAAUGGGACAAUUUGAGUGUGAAUUUAGCCACAUAUCAAUGCAUGAAACAUGAAACAUGUGCAAGCAUUCAGGCAAUUCACGAAUUUGUUCACCCUCAUUGAACUCGCACAAGCACACUGAACAAAUUUCUUCAUUGCAUUCUUUGCUAUAUCUGCCCAAUGGAACUUCUAUCACCGUCGAGUUGGGGGUGCCACUGAUCAUUUCUCGUCUAUUUGCAGGAUUUUGGGGUCUGCCUGGGGUUGGAGAGUUUGUAAAUCGCCCUGAUCGGCUACGACAACCUGCAGCAAUACAAUGCAAGGUUGCCACCAUGAUGGCUCCAGAGAGGAUACCACAAAGGCCGAUGAGAAUUGGGCUAAAUUUGACUCCAUGGUUAUGUUCUCUAUCCAUGAAAUGAAAGAAAUUGGACAUAAUUCAAGAGCUAGGUGACUAUUUGCAGGCAUAAGUUUUAUAGUUUUUCGUCUCCUUUUUGGGGCCUAAUGCUACAAAAGAGAGGCCUUGCUUUCAUUGCCAUUUUGGUUAAAUUUCCUUAUAGGAAACGGUGUUAUCACAUAUUGAAA